AUUGAACGCUGGCGGCAUGCCUUACACAUGCAAGUCGAACGGCAGCACGGGAGCAAUCCUGGUGGCGAGUGGCGAACGGGUGAGUAAUAUAUCGGAACGUGCCCAGUCGUGGGGGAUAACGUAGCGAAAGCUACGCUAAUACCGCAUACGAUCUAUGGAUGAAAGCGGGGGAUCGCAAGACCUCGCGCGAUUGGAGCGGCCGAUAUCAGAUUAGGUAGUUGGUGAGGUAAAGGCUCACCAAGCCGACGAUCUGUAGCUGGUCUGAGAGGACGACCAGCCACACUGGGACUGAGACACGGCCCAGACUCCUACGGAGGCAGCAGUGGGGAAUUUUGGACAAUGGGCGCAAGCCUGAUCCAGCAAUGCCGCGUGCAGGAUG
rnacentral:rRNA from 1 species